rnacentral:rRNA from 1 species
GACGAACGCUGGCGGCGUGCCUAAUACAUGCAAGUAGAACGCUGAAGAGAGGAGCUUACUCUUCUUGGAUGAGUUGCGAACGGGUGAGUAACGCGUAGGUAACCUGCCUUGUAGCGGGGGAUAACUAUUGGAAACGAUAGCUAAUACCGCAUAACAAUGGAUGACACAUGUCAUUUAUUUGAAAGGGGCAAUUGCUCCACUACAAGAUGGACCUGCGUUGUAUUAGCUAGUAGGUGAGGUAAUGGCUCACCUAGGCGACGAUACAUAGCCGACCUGAGAGGGUGGUCGGCCAGCCUGGGACUGAGACACGGCCCAGACUCCUACGGGAGGCAGCAGUAGGGAAUCUUCGGCAAUGGGGGCAACCCUGACCGAGCAACGCCGCGUGAGUGAAGAAGGUUUUCGGAUCGUAAAGCUCUGUUGUAAGUCAAGAACGGGUGUGAGAGUGGAAAGUUCACACUGUGACGGUAGCUUACCAGAAAGGGACGGCUAACUACGUG